CAGCUAUGGGGUCACCACAGCCCCAUAGACAGCUAUGGGGACACCACAACCCCAUGGACAGCUAUGGGGACAUCACAGCCCCAUAGACAGCCAUGGGGACACCGCAGCCCCAUAGACAGCCAUGGGGACACCGUGACCCCAUUGACAGCCAUAGGGACACCGCAGCCCCAUAGACAGCCAUGGGGACACUGUGACCCCAUAGACAGCCAUGGGGACACCACAGCCCCAUAGACAGCCAUGGGGACACCACAGCCCCAUAGACAGCUAUGGGGACAUCACAGCCCCAUAGACAGCCAUGGGGACAUCACAGCCCCAUUUAUGGCCAUGGGAUAACUGUGACCCCAUAGACAGCCAUGGGGACAUCACAGCCCCAUAGGCAGCCAUGGGGACAUCACAGCCCCAUUUAUGGCCAUGGGGACACUGCAACCCCACUGAUGGCUAUGGGGACAUCACAGCCCCAUUGAAAGCCAUGGGGUAACUGUGACCCCAUAGACAGCCAUGGGGACACAUGGGCAGGAAAACAACCCCAUAGCAGCCCCAUAGAUUCACAUACAAUGGGGCCGUGCCAUGGAGGUGAGUGAACAGCUACAGCCCCAGGGCCAGGGAGAGCAGGUUCUCCCUCCUUAACCCUAUUACCCUAAUGAGUGCCCCUAAUUACCCUAAUGAGUGAGUGCCCCUAAUUACCCUAAUGAGUGAGUGCCCCUAAUUACCCUAAUGAGUGAGUGCCCCUAAUUACCCUAAUUAGUGCCCUGGGGUGCCCUCAUUGCCACGUGGCACCGCCUGCCCCAAAACCGCAGCCAUGGGUCAAUGGGGACGGCUAUGGGUCAAUGGGGACGGCUAUGGGGCAAUGGGGACGGCUAUGGGUCAGUGGGAUGGCUAUGGGUCAAUGGGACGGCUAUGGGUCAAUGGGACGGCUAUGGGUCAGUGGGAUGGUCUAUGGGUCAAUGGGACGGCUAUGUGGUCAGUGGGAAUGGCUAUGGGGCAAUGGGACGGUCUAUAGGGGCAAUGGGACGGCUAUUGGGGUCAGUGGGAUGGCUUAUGGGUCAGUGGGAUGGCGUUAUGGGGCAAAGGGGACAGGCUAAUGGGCAGUGGGGGACGGCUAUGGGUCAAGUGGCGGACGGCUUAUGGGGCAUGGGGACGGCUAUGGGGCAAUGGGGACGGCUAUGGGGCAAUGGGGACGGCUAUGGGGCAAUGGGGAUGGCUAUGGUCAUAUGGGGGGCGCAAAUCAACCCCCCUACUCCCACCCCUCCGCACGUCCCUCGCUCUAUCAC
rnacentral:lncRNA from 1 species